rnacentral:rRNA from 1 species
AUUGAACGCUGGCGGCAUGCUUUACACAUGCAAGUCGAACGGUAACAGGGAGCUUGCUCCGCUGACGAGUGGCGAACGGGUGAGUAAUGCGUCGGAACGUGCCGAGUAGUGGGGGAUAACGCAUCGAAAGGUGUGCUAAUACCGCAUACGUACUGAGGUAGAAAGUGGGGGACCUUCGGGCCUCACGCUAUUCGAGCGGCCGACGUCUGAUUAGCUAGUUGGUGAGGUAAAGGCCCACCAAGGCGACGAUCAGUAGCGGGUCUGAGAGGAUGAUCCGCCACACUGGGACUGAGACACGGCCCAGACUCCUACGGGAGGCAGCAGUGGGGAAUUUUGGACAAUGGGCGCAAGCCUGAUCCAGCCAUGCCGCGUGUCUGAAGAAGGCCUUCGGGUUGUAAAGGACUUUUGUCCGGGAGCAAAUGCUGGUGGCUAACAUCCACCGGAGCUGAGAGUACCGGAAGAAUAAGCACCGGCUAACUACGUGCCAGCCGCCGCGGUAAAAC